rnacentral:lncRNA from 1 species
UGGAAAUACAGGUCAGUUGGUAGAACGCCUGCCUGUCAUGCAUAAAACCUUUGGUUCAAUACCCAAUACUUCAGAAAACAGGUGUGAUGACAUACACCUAUAAUCCCAAGGCUUGGAAGGUAGAGGCAGGGUCAGGAGUUCAAGGUCAUCCUUGGCUACUUCAAGACUAGCCUGGGCUAUAGAGGACCAUGCCUCAGAAAACCAAAAAGUAGAAAUAAAUACCAAACAAAAAAUCCAAUAAAAUUAAUUAAUUAAAAAAAUAAGCCUGUCUCAUAGCAAUCGUAGUAGGCUUGGUGGGUGAGACCUGGCAUGCCAAUCCUUGGGAAGCAGAAAGAGAACUGCCUUGAGAUCCAGGCUAGCCCAGAUGACAGAGCGAUACUCUUGUAUCCAAAACCAAACCAAACCCCCCCAACAAUCUCUUACUGUGGGUAUCACUGUCACUUGAUACAUGAAUGAUCUAUAUUAAACUGUUAAGGUAAUUAAAGUUAUUAGUAUAUAGCUCAAUUGCUAUAAUGCUUGUCUAGCAUGCUUGAGAGGGGCAAGAGAAGUGCCUUUUAUUUAGGGCUAUAUGAAGAUGAAAAGGAUGAGAGAAGAACUGUCACCAGUGAAAUGAUGUCUAAAAAGAAGAGGAAGGAGUCAGGAUCCAUCAGCAUAGAGGCUGUAGUUGUACAGAUAAAAUCCAAGUCAUAACUGUGGUUAACUUUCCUUGGGAAUGGUGGAGUUUGCAAAGUGGGGAGUACCUUUAAAAGGCUGAAAGGUAAAAAGCCCUCUGUAGUAAGCUACCGUUUGAGUCUUGACAAUUAAAAGAUGGGUGUGUGUGCACAUGCUAGAGGUGUUACUAUAUGCCUGGGUAUGUGAUGCUAGGGACCCAGCCCAGGGCUUAGUACCAGUGAGGCGGGAUCCAGGAGGAAGUGAGGAAGGCAGAGUCAUGAACUUGGAAAACAGACUCUGCACCAGCAAGUGGCAAGGUACAGGUCUACUUGACUGAGCAGCAACAAGCAUUUCUUUGUUUUGUUUUGUUUUGGCUUGUUUUUUUUUUUUUUUUUUUUUUUUUUACACAGCCAUUGGUCCAAUGGGGAAUCAACACGAGCUCUGGAAUAGCCAACCAUCCACUGGAACUAUGGGGAGGUUCCAGGCUGCCAGCACCAGAGGACACUUCCAUAAAGCCAGCGGAAGCAGCCACCGCCCUAUUCCCGGCCCAUUCUGGGGUUCCACUAGUUUGCAAGAAUCCUCUAUUUUGUGGCACACUGUAUGUCAGUGGACAUGGACACUGAUACUCUUAAGGCAGUAUGGAACCUCCCUCACUGUCCGCAGAGCCAUCGCACACGCAAGGUCCAUCCUUAGCCCUGCUCAGCAGUUCUUUGGAUGGCAGCUCCGAUCUUCCUUGGAAGCUUGUUGUUUUCUUUUAUAAUCCCUGUCUCUCAUUUUCCUUCAUGUAAACAUGUGUGUGUGUGUGUCUGCUGGGAAUAGAACUGAGAGCUUUGCACAUGCUAGGCAAGUGUUCAGUCAGGGUUUUAGUUGUUGUUGUUAUUCUUGUUGUUUUGUUUUGUCAGCUUUGCAGGAGGAAUCUGGGAAGAGGAAACCUCAGUUGAGCAAAUGCCCCCAUCAGGCUGGCCUGUAGGGGACUUCAUGAAUUUUCAUGAAUGAUGUUUGGUGGGAAAGAGCCCAUUCUACUAGGUCAUAGGAGGGCAUCAGAUCCUCUGGAAUUGAAGUAACAGCUGCUUGUGAGCCACCAUGUGGAUGCUGAAAACUGAACCCAGGUCCUCUGCAAGAGCAAGAAGCGUUCUUAACCACUGAGACAUCUCUCUAGCACUUUAAACAUCUCUUGUCACCCUUAAAGGUUCCAUUAACCCCCCCCCCUCUCUCUCCUCUGUUUCUGGAUCUGCUCAUUUGACAUUUUUCAUAACUGCAAUAAAUGAAACAAAACAAU